AACAGGAUUAGAUACCCUGGUAGUCCACGCCGUAAACGAUGUCGACUUGGAGGUUGUUCCCUUGAGGAGUGGCUUCCGGAGCUAACGCGUUAAGUCGACCGCCUGGGGAGUACGGCCGCAAGGUUAAAACUCAAAUGAAUUGACGGGGGCCCGCACAAGCGGUGGAGCAUGUGGUUUAAUUCGAUGCAACGCGAAGAACCUUACCUACUCUUGACAUCCAGCGAACUUAGCAGAGAUGCUUUGGUGCCUUCGGGAACGCUGAGACAGGUGCUGCAUGGCUGUCGUCAGCUCGUGUUGUGAAAUGUUGGGUUAAGUCCCGCAACGAGCGCAACCCUUAUCCUUUGUUGCCAGCGAUUCGGUCGGGAACUCAAAGGAGACUGCCGGUGAUAAACCGGAGGAAGGUGGGGAUGACGUCAAGUCAUCAUGGCCCUUACGAGUAGGGCUACACACGUGCUACAAUGGCGCAUACAAAGAGAAGCGACCUCGCGAGAGCAAGCGGACCUCACAAAGUGCGUCGUAGUCCGGAUCGGAGUCUGCAACUCGACUCCGUGAAGUCGGAAUCGCUAGUAAUCGUGGAUCAGAAUGCCACGGUGAAUACGUCCCCGGGCCUUGUACACACCGCCCGUCACACCAUGGGAGUGGGUUGCAAAAGAAGUAGGUAGCUUAACCUUCGGGAGGGCGCUUACCACUUUGUGAUUCAUGACUGGGGUGAAGUCGUAACAAGGUAACC
rnacentral:rRNA from 1 species